UGGCAUUCCAUUUAUUAAGGGAAACAGAAAAUCAAACAAAAUCUGCCACCAGAAAGGAGCCCACUAUCUUCCAUUCCAACUUCGUUACUGCCCUUCUCCCAGGAUGCGCUGAGCAAGGGGACCAAAAACUGACGAAAAUGGGUGGCCCGGGUGCUCCAGCCUCUCAGAAUCCCUCUGUUGCAGUUUUCUCAGAGUUCUGCAUACAGAACAGCUUCAAGGCUGCUGGCUGAGAUGGUCCAGCGUUACAGACUACUCCAGCCAGUUCUGGAAGUCUCAGCAAGAUGACCAGGAACAAGAAAGAAAGAGAGGAUAUUCACAUUGGAAACGCUGAAGUGCCAUCACAGACAUUUGCAGAUGCUAUGACUUCA